UGGUCGUCGUACCAAGAACACAUAGAUCGUGGUUUAUGUGCAUCUCCUAGUUGAGGCUAGGUAGAGAUCCUCUAGUUCUUGAGGGAACAUAUAGAGCCUAUCCAUUUUAUUGUUUUUGUUUUCGUCCAUAAAUUCGUAAAACCCCAAAAAGAGUUCGAACCAUCCAUAGAAUCACAUCAACAUCACACUAACCCUAGAGCUCCACAUAGCGAGAGCUUUUCAGAGCAGCGGUACUCGCCAAUCUUCGUACUGGUUGUUGCCGGUCUUCGUCGUCAGUCUUCGUGGCCAAUUGUUGGUUGUUCAUUGAGAAUCUAUGAUGAAGUCGGGUUCGAUUUCUACGGGAUCAUCGGACACUUUGGAUUCGACUGGAAAUAUGGAAAAUCAGAUCCAAAUAAUAAGAACAAUUGGACUGACGGAAACUUCGUAGAAAGCGGCUUUUAGUUGAUAUUGCUAUACUUGGGAAGCGUUCGAGGUUGGUGAAAGGGACUACGUUGCAGGAAUGAGUGAAUUUAUAGUUUUUAAGUUCACCUAGUUUAAUAAACACUACAGUAAUGUCAUUUGAGAUUGUUUAGUUUUGGUUUGGUUUAAAUUAAACAACUUAGUUUGAUUCUUUUGAUACUUUGGUUUGUCAGUAAAAUUUUUAUUUCUAAUAA